rnacentral:lncRNA from 1 species
UAUAACUGUAUUAACCGUAUACAUGUAUAAUAACAGUAUAGUACAGAUAAAACGUUGAACCACGUGAUCACGUGUAAUACGUAAACGUGCCAUCGACGUCACGUGCUAAUGUAUGUAUACAGCACGUGUAAGAUAUUUUGAGUUCGCUUAACCACAGUCAGCUGUUUAUGUCAGAAAAGUGACAGCUGUGGAAACCAGCAGCCGAACAACUCGUUGGGUAAGAGAGAAAUUAUCUUAUUGGAUCUAGAAAAGAUGAGAUACAAGUCGGUAGAGCGAAAAUAACCGAGGGUAACGACGGCUGGCAACUAUAUAGGUAUAAUAUUUUAUGCGCGCAAACAUCACCCGACGGUCUGUAAAGAGAGAGAACGUGCCUGAAUUGUACGGAAAGAACCAGAACAUUCUAGAACGUUUACCGCUUGCAGAUUCGCAACGACCGAAGUUGCGUGUGGCGUGCGUUGGAUAAGAGGUUUUCAGAAGCAAAAAAAUUGUGACAUUGAAGUUUGGAUGGAGAAGAAGAUUCCAGAGGUUUUCCGUGUCGCCGAAAAGCUUUAUGCACGUCAGGCUACAAGUCACUCGAUGGUCAGUUCCAAGUUCAUUGCUCUAUUUUAUUUUUCUUCUUUUUCUUUCUCCCUUUACUAUUUACAGGUGUAAGCCAGCGAGUUAAGAUGCAGAAAGAGUGGCUAUAAAUAGCUAUCCGAGUCGAUGCCACUUUAAGGCUGUAUAGAAAGUCAGUGUCGAAUGUUCUCGAAUGAUUCUCAGGUGUCUAUAAAUAAAUAAGGUUUCUGAGGCUAAACUGCCUUUGAAUCGGCUUUACAGAAUUAGGAACAAUAAUUCGGCGGCGUUUGCCUGCUCGCUUCUGCCAAUCGGCAAAAUCUUAAUUCGAAAUUAUUCGUUCGUAUUUCCCUGAGCGUUUCCGUGACGGAUCCGCGACCACGAGAUCCUUUUAUUACACAUCCCCCUCCAAGGGCCUGCAUACAGAAGCCAAGGAAAACCAGGAUGGACAGGGCUUGGUAAACCGGUAUAAAACUUAUCCGAGGGAUCUUGCAAGGCAAAGGGCGGAUACAUACGGACGAGCGAUCGCAACUGCAAAUGUGGCGAAUGGUCGUGAUUUUCCAGCAUCGUUCUAAACUCGAAAUUAGUGCUUGCAAUGGUUCGUGAAAUUUUCCGUUCAUUCGCAGUAAUCAAAAAAGUUAUUCAACAUAUUCACCUAAUAUUUGCAGUUUUUCUCUACGAUACGAUCGUGGCGGCGAGUUUAUCAAUUAGAAAAUCUAUAAAACAAAGGAAAAGUUUUUAUCGUACAUACUAUGUACAAUUUACAUGGAAAUGAGCGAAGGUUGGCAAAAUCAAGGAGAGUCCUUCACGCAACGGAGCAUGUAGAUUACAAAUUGACCUACAAUCGCGAUUCAAACGUAUGAACACCCGUACUCAUGAAUUUGCGUGGCCCGGGCUGUAACGAAGUUC